rnacentral:rRNA from 1 species
CGGGGUGCACCAGGCGCGAAAACUUUACAAUGCGGGAAACCGUGAUAAGGGGACACCGAGUGCCAGCAUUAUCUGCUGGCUGUCCGGGUGUGUAAAAUACACCCGUUAGCAAGGGCCGGGCAAGACCGGUGCCAGCCGCCGCGGUAACACUGGCGGCCCGAGUGGUGAUCGUGAUUAUUGGGUCUAAAGGGUCCGUAGCCGGUUUGGUCAGUCCUCCGGGAAAUCUGACGGCUCAACCGUUAGUCUUUCGGGGGAUCCUGCCAGGCUCGGAACUGGGAGAGUUAAGAGCUACUACAGGUGUAGGAGUGAAAUAUUGUAAUCCCUGUGAGACCUCCCGAGGGGAAGGCGUAUUACCAGAACGGGUUUGACGGUGAGGGAAGAUAGGUGGGGGCACGAACCGGAUGAGAUACCCGGGUAGUCCCAACCGUUAACGAUGCUCCCUAGGUGUCAGGCAUGGCGCGACCGUGUGUGGUGCCGCAGGGAAGCCGUGGAGCGAGCCACUUGGGAAGUACGGCCGCAAGCCUGAAACUUAAAGGAAUCGGCGGGCGACCAC